UACGUAGGGGGCAAGCGUUGUCCGGAAUUAUUGGGCGUAAAGAGCGCGUAGGCGGUCCGGUAAGUCGGCUGUGAAAGUCAAGGGCUCAACCCUUGAAAGCCGGCCGAUACUGUCGGACUAGAGUCCGGAAGAGGCGAGUGGAAUUCCCGGUGUAGCGGUGAAAUGCGUAGAUAUCUGGAGGAAUACCGGUGGCGAAGGCGGCAUCCUGGACCGACAUUGACGCUGAGGAGCGAAAGCUAGGGGAGCAAACGGG
rnacentral:rRNA from 1 species